ACGACUCCUCCCCUAUCGAGGGAGGCUCAGCCGCACACAUGGCCACACACCCGCCGCCUCCGCAAUCGAUCCCUCCACCCGCUUGGUCCCCUUCUUCGUCUUCCUCGUCCCCCUACUCCUUCCUCCAAACCCUGGUGCAAACCCUAAUGUCCGCCGCCACGGACCCCUCUCGCCUCUCCGGCGAGUCCUCGCCGUUGUCCCCCACCUCCUCCGGCUCUUCCUCCCCCUCCUCCACUGCCGCCGCCGCCAUCCUCGCCGAGGCCACCUCGACCUCCGCCGCCGCCAUCCUAGCCGAGGCCCCCACGUCCCCGCGCAAGGGGAUGUACUUCGAGACGGAGGACGACUCGUACGAGUUCUACAAGGCCUACGCCGCUCGCCUCGGCUUCGUCGUCCGCAAGUCCAACAAGUCCAAGAACUCGCGGCAUACCGUCACCCGCCGCCUGUUCGUCUGCUCCAAGCAGGGCUUCCGCCAGGUACCCAAGAAGCCCCAAGACGAGACCACCGCCGGCGCCGGCACCUCCUCCUCGCCUCCACCGCCUCGAUGCCCGAAUUCGCGCACCGGCUGCCUGGCGUCACUCACCAUCAAGCUCGUCCCUUCCGCCAACGCCUUCCGUGUCACCGACUUCGUCGCCGAGCACAACCACCCGCUUGCCUCUGCCGCGCCCGCCGUGUCUCUGGCCUUGCUGCCGCCAAGCUCGUCACACCACAUCAUUGCCGCCACGGCGAGCUUGCCGGACCCGAGGGGUGGCCCGCACUCUGACAUGCACUUCGAGACUGAGGAAGAUGCAUAUGUCUUCUACAACCGGUAUGCUGAGCACGUGGGCUUCAGUGUCCGCCGCUCGUACAAGAAGCGCAAGCGUGGGGUGAUAGUGUCGCGGAUCUUUGUUUGUUCCCGUGAGGGCGUCAGCGACCGCGCCAAGCAAGAGGGCCUAGCCACAGUCAAUGCAAAUGGUGGUGCAGGGUCGGCAGGCACACCUAGGCCGGGUCCACCACCAACACGGACAGGAUGCCAGGCGAGAAUGGUGAUCAAGAUCACCCCGUGUCGGACAUACCGUGUGGCGAAGUUCUUCCCAGAGCAUAACCACCCGCUUGCCAAUCCGGAGAGCGUGCAUAAGCUGCGAUCACAUAAGAUGAGGGCUCGGGCACAUGAGCUUGGGGCAGGGGAACUGCAUCGAAGGAAGCAAGGGAAGGGUGUGCAACUCGGGGAUGCUGGUGCAGCAUUGCAAUACUUGGAGGAGUUGCAGGUAGAGAAUCCUUCAGUGUAUUAUGCAGUAGGAGUGGAUCCUGAUGGAAAAUCCACUGUAAAUUUCUUCUGGGCUGAUGCGAAAUCAAUAAUUGACUUCAGGAGCUUCGGUGAUGUUGUUUUAUUUGAUACGACAUAUGGUUUGAAUGGGUAUGGACGGCCAUUUGCAUUGUUUGUUGGUGUUGACAACCACAAGCAGUUGCUUGUAUUUGGUGCAGCAUUGCUCUAUGAUGAGAGUGUUCAGUCAUUGAAAUGGGUAUUUGAGGUGUUUGCUGAUGCCAUGCGUGCUAGGCAGCCACAGACUAUUUUGCUUGACGAACGUCCUGAGUGUGCCAUUGCAGCAGCAGAGGUAUGGCCUGGAAGCAGCCACUGCACAAAUGUGUGGCAUAUCUACCAUAAUUCAAAGAGACACUUGAAGCAGGUGUUUGAAAGCUCAAAGAGUUUCAGCAAUGCUUUGAGCCAUUGUCUCUUUGACUGUGAGGAUGAGAUGGAGUUCUUGUCAGCAUGGGAAAAGCUAAUUGAGAAACAUGACGUAGGCGAGAGUGAGUGGCUCAGCAGGCUUUUCCUGGAGAAAGAAAAUUGGGUUUUGCCUUAUCAGAGAACCAUUUUUUCUGCUGAUAUACUCACCACUCUUCGGAAGGAUAACAUGAUUAAUGAACUGAAACGAGAGCUCAGUGAGCAAGAAGAUAUUCUGCAGUUCUUCAGGCGUUAUGAGGCCAUUCUGGAAGAUCAUCGAUCAAAGAAAUUGCACACUGAUGUUGAUGGAAGCCAGGUGACUUUGCCUAUCCCGUCGCUGCGAAUGCUAAAACAAGCGUCAAAUGCUUAUACACCUGAAGCAUUCAAGAUGUUCCAGUGUGAGUUUGAGGCUUACAUGAAUUGCAUGUCCUUCCCCUGUGGUGUGGUUGGAACAAUCUCAGAGUACAAAAUUGUGCUUGAUGAGAAGCCAUCAGAGAGCAUUGUCAAAUUUGAUGCACUAGAUGGCUCAGCUACUUGCAGCUGCAAGAAGUUUGAAACUGUUGGAAUCCAAUGCUGUCAUGUACUGAAGGUACUUGAUCUCAAGAAUAUCAAAGAACUCCCAGAACAAUAUAUUUUGAAGAGAUGGAGAAAAGAUGCCCGUUCUGUUCAAAUUGGAGAAGAGCCUACCUGUGGAUCUGGUAGUGUCAUGCGGUCAGCCUCAGAAGCCCGAUUCAGUAACAUGUGCCGGUUGGCUAGCUUGAUUGUUUCAAGGGCUGCCAAAUCUGAGGAGGCAAUGUCGUACAUUGAAAGUCAAUCAAGUGCUCUUCUGAAACAUCUCGAUGAUAUUCUACAGACAGGCUAUCCUGAGAUGGGAAAUCAUACCGUUGCUUCAAGUAGUCAAGCGAUUUCCUUUGUAGGCAACCAACAUCCUGACCUUACAACACAAGCAAGAGCAGUUGCACAUACAACAAAUGGUCUGAUGGGGCUUUGAUGCCACAUUUGCAGUCCAUAGUUCAGACCAUACUAGCAACAUUGGACUGAUAUGAUUAUGGGGGAUUUCUGAUGGUCCAGAAGUGGUAUACUCCAGUGGACAAUUGAAUGGAGGGCCACUUGGUGGGGAGACAGCUGCCCAUACUGCACCAUGAGUUCGGCUCAGAAGCUGGCAUGUCAGUUUCACAGUCUGCAUUCAACCAUCAACAGUAGCCUUAGAGAUGAGCACGAGGAGAUAAAGCAGAGCUGGGAGAUGACGAUGAAGUGGAAGAGCCAUUGGUGGUAUGGAGACGAAGUGAGUGGCCAAUUAACAAGGCUAACGAUUGUGCAUACAAGAUGAGCGACGGAGCCAUAUAUUUAUAGUGAUCAUCUUGAGGUGCCACGGGCACCCUUAGGUUGCUCACGAGUUACGAAUUGGAAACUUGUGGUUUCGAUGGAUGGGGAUGCUAGUGCCAUGUUGACAAUGCUUCUCUCUGUGUAUGUAACCCAAGUUUUUGUCAACCUUUUUUUUCACUUUCUUUAGCAACUGGGCGCAUUCUUGGGGCUCCAUUUUCAGUAUCUCGUCGAUUAAAAAAAAUAUAUCGUACCAAGUUUAGAGGAUUUAGUUUUGGACUUUCACUUUUAUUCAACUGGUAAAGAGAACUUUACGCUA